rnacentral:rRNA from 1 species
CCUACGGGUGGCAGCAGUGGGGAAUCUUCCGCAAUGGGCGAAAGCCUGACGGAGCAACGCCGCGUGAUCGAAUGAAGGCCUUCGGGUUGUAAACAUCUGUUGUCAGGGACGAAUAAGCAAUGCGAAUAGUUUUGUGUAUGACGGUACCUGUUUAGAAAGCUCCGGCUAACUACGUGCCAGCAGCCGCGGUAAUACGUAGGGAGCAAGCGUUGUCCGGAUUUACUGGGCGUAAAGGGCGAGUAGGUGGGCGCUUAAGUCAGGUGUGAAAACUCCGGGCUCAACCUGGUGACUGCAUUUGAUACUGGGUGUCUAGAGAGCAGGUGAGGAAAGUGGAAUGCCUGGUGUAGCGGUGAAAUGCGUAGAGAUUAGGAGGAACACCAGUGGCGAAGGCGACUUUCUGGGCUGUACCUGACGCUGAGGCGCGAAAGCGUGGGUAGCGAACAGGAUUAGAUACCCUUGUAGUC